GCAGCAGAGGUUUGAUCAUAUACGGAAUGAAGUCACACGUCUGCUACAGUUAGGACAGUGCCCAACCUGUAAAAGUCAGGGAGUAUCAGGCUUUUUAUCUGAAGUUGCUGUUCAGCCUAGCAUUGGAAGACUACCUGGAGAUGGAGGGGAAGGGCAGACUAGUUUCAGUAAACUGGAGAUAGCCCAUGCAGUUAAUAUGUCACCAGCAUCAGUUCUUGCACGCCUUGCUGCUGCUCGUCAACAUGAAAAUGUAGAAAGAGAGAAAAGGCUUUUACAACUGUCUGCCUUGGAAUCAUCUUGACAUUGGUUAAACAUUAGUUUUUAUUUUUAUAUUUUCAUAAAUUCAGUUCUGCAUACUAAUGAUAAUGACUAUUAGGUGUGUCAGGGAAACAACAACAUUGCCUACUUACUGGAACUGUCAUUUCAGUGUACGUAUUGUAGAUUGAAUCUUGAAGGAAGAAUGAAUCUUGGAAAGACAAAAUCUUGUUCACCAGCUUCACUGGGUAAGUUCCUCAUUGGACUAGCAGGUUACAUGCUCACCUACUGAUUUGGUAGUCCAUGUUUUCUUCCCCAUUUUGCCAGCGCAGAAUCAAAGGAAUUUAUUUCUGGUGAUUAGAAAUUCAUUUCUCAAUGUAAUGUAAUGUUUCGGAUCCCACAAUAAGCUGUAGGUCCUGUGCUAAGUAACCAAUUGGUUCCUAGCCACGUAAAAAAUAUCUAAUCCUUCGGGCCAGCCUUAGGAGAACUGUUAAUCAGCUCAGUGGUCUGGUUUACUUAACUGGAUGAUUUUCUUGAAAAGUGGGUUAAAUCCAGUAACUGUAACUCUUUUUGUUAAUCCAUCAAGGGUUCAUUUUUCUUAUAUGGUUUGUAUUGAAUUCUUGCUUUUAUUUAAGUAACUUACCAAGCAAUUACAUAGCUAUAGUUUCCACUCAUAUGGCCACUUAAAAUAACAAUUUUGCGGAUAGUGCUUCAAUAGUUUGUGUAGGUAACAGCCUGUCCCACUGAUGGCAUUGGAACGACCUAGCAGACAAUCUUCAUUCUUUUCCAGCCAUCCUUGGUGGCAACACUGGGUCUGACGGUAGCUUUAGUAGUUAUAUUCUGGUUAUUUUACUAGAUUCCGAUGGAGGCUUCUUUGAAUUAACCAUCGGAAUGCGUAUAUUGUAGCCUUCAAGCUGAAAUCUUUCAGGAUGAACUUUUCCAUAUUUUAUUUUUUUAGUUGAUACAGCUCAGUCAUCAGCAAACUGCAGUAAACAACAUCGUUUGCACUUAUGGUUUGUUUACUGGUUAGGCUACUGGCAGUGCUAAUACUAAUAGUUUUGCCUUAAAAGUAAUUCUCAGAUGUUAUGACGUUACAUUGUAAAAGUAAAUUGUUGUAUUACACCUUUUCAUAAGGCCAUAACUUUGACAAUUUAUGAAUUAAUUUUUUUAUUAUAAACUCUUAGCAAGCUGAUGAUGAUAGUUUUGUUUUUAAAAAUGAUUCUUGAGUGUUACAACUCCAUUAUAAAAGUAAUUGGUCUAUGUUAAUUUUUUUCAUUUGGCCAUAAAUUUUGCAAUUUAUGAAUUAUUUUAUGGCCUUAAAAUGAUAGUUUUGCUUAAAAGUAUUUCUCCGAUUACGGCAUUCAAUCAUCAAGUAACUUGUGUAUGAUAUGCCUCCUCUUUAUGCAUUAACUUUUGCUUGAGGUUCACCUGGCAUCAAGUUUAGAGGUUACGGCAUCUGCAACUCCCAGCAGCUCGACUGGCACCAGGAAUAUUUAUACCUCCAUGAGCUACCAUGGCUAACUUGGCCAUAUCUACAGACUGGUGUCAGCUGCAGUUUGUUGCUAGCUAUAGAGCUUCUUGAACUUCGAGCUGCUAGCUCGCCUGGUGCCAACUACAAGUCUGGCCCCAGCUAUAGAGCUCCAGCGCCCAGAGUUUCGCGCUCCCCUAGUGCUCACCUCAUAUGGCACCAGCUACAGUCUGGCUGCAACUUUAGAGUUUAUGGUAUCCACGAACUCCUGGUAGUUUGACAGGUGCCCAGUUCACCUGACACCCAGCUCACCUAGCACCAGCGAUAUUUAUACCAAUCCGUGAGCUUCCACGGCUCACCUGGCACCAGCUUAACAGUGUUUAAAAUUCUGGUAUACCACAGGAUAGGGACUGGCAUGGUAUACCAAGAGAAAGCAUAGGAUUUUCUCCUGUCUUUGCACCUUGUAGCGAGGUAUAAAAUUUUUAGGAGCCAGUAGGUACAAAGUACCUGAAGCUCCGACCACUCUUAGUGGAUGGGUUGUGGUAUUUCAGUGUAGGUGACAGUGUUUCUGGUUGUUUUUUAUGUUGGUACUGCACCGAGGGCAAGGGCACCUUUUAAAAGAUUUGCUAGCUAUCAGAUAACUCCUUGACUGCAUAAUUUCCACUGAUGCUUUGGUAGCCAUUGGAAUACUCCAUCACUACAAAACUCCUACUUGAGUAGAGGCGACUCUUGGUUUUACUACCACGCCCCUAUAAAUCAAGUUGAAGAACAACCAGUUGCAGUUUUAUACUGCAGGCUCUUGUAACUGAUAAGGAACAACAAGCAUUAUAUUCAAUUGCUAGCAACUUUUCUAUUUCAAAUUCAUUACAUGACUUAAUGUUUUGGAGUAGAAUACUAUGUCCAUGUAACCGACCUACUGUCAAUGUGGGAUUCAGCUGUAUAAUUACUUGGUAAGUUACAUAUAUAAAAAUGACAUUUUUAUAAUAAAAUAAAAUUGUAUAUAUAUACUUACCAAGUAAUUACAGAAUUGGAGCCCACCCUCCUCCCCUCUGAUGGACGGAAGGCAUAAAGCAAAUGAGGAUUGUCUGCUAGGUUGUUCCAAUAUUCUUUUAGUGGGAUGGGCUGUUACCUGCACAAACUAUAUUGAAACAAAAUUUUGAUUUUAAGCUGCUGUACAAGUGGAAACUAUAGCUAUGUAAUUACUUGUAAGUACAGUAUACGUAUAUGAGAUUUAUUGUAAAAAUGUCUUUUUUCAACAUUACAAGUGAUUAAGUAAAGUUCGUAGAGUACCUCAAGAUUAGUUUAGCCCCAGAUUUCAUAAUACACUGUAUCAAUGGUGGAGUAAUAGUUUUUCUAGUCAUAUUUAGUGAAUAAAUUCAAUAUUUUUACUUAACAUUGCUCAUUCAUAAUUUAAAAAAAACAGGUUUUGACAUAGGAAAAACCUAUUUUUGGUAGUCGCUGUUGCGUCCUCAAAGGAUUUACCCUUCCAUGGGACGUUGGUACAUGGGACAGCAACUAUGCUAUAAAAAAUUAUGGUUUUUCAUUGGUCUUUCUAAAUUAGGCAAUCUUGAUCAGCCAUAGAUGCAUUUGUACACGAAGGACGACCAGCAGUGAAACCCUUCUAACCUUGUGUUAAUGUUAUCAAUCAAGAUUAAAUUCUUUUCCUUAUAUGACAAGCAAAUAUGGGAGAGAAAGUCAGUACUCUGUAGAGCUUAAUUUCUUAUUUUUUUCCAUCACUUUUUAUACUUUCUUCAUAUGGUAUUUCCUUAUGUACAUUUGACCUUCUCAACUGUAUACAUACCAGUUAUCCAGGUAUACAGGGUUUACAUUCAGAGAAAAUUGAGUCUGAAGGAACCACCUGGCCCAAUAGAAGGUUAGUUUUAAUUUAGCUUGUUAGUUGAGUUUUGAGGAUAUGAAGUGUUUUUUCUUAAGUGUCCAUAUUUUUGGAUUUUUAUUAUAUAGUAUUUAGUAUAGCAUGAGUACGUAUAUAACUAUGGAACACUUUUUUUUUUAUGGAACAUUUUUUUUUACCAUUCUCAUGAUCUUGCCUUAUAUCCUUAGUAUUUGAUGGUAUAAGCAAGGCACUGUUAUUGGUAAGACUGAUCUUGUGCUGCUAAUUCUAGACCUUUUAAUUUUUCCUCUUUUACAUAUUGUUUCCUGCGGUAGCUUUUAACACAGCAUAAUCACAGAUCAUCAGCUCUCAUACAUUUGAUUUCUGACUGCAUUAACUUGACAAAAAAGUUAAAUUUUAAAACUCACUGUUUACUCAGCCACAUACUGUAUAAUUCCAAGAAAUUUAGUUCACACCACACCACAGAAAAAUACAAUUUUUGGGGGAGGAAUGAUUACGCCUCCUGCUUCUGUAAUGGCGUAUUAAUUUUCUUGAGAUAGAGCAAAUAUUGUAUCAAAAUUAUUGUUUUAGUCAGUUUCCAUUGGCAACACAUGGAGGUUGGAUUUCCUUGACAUUCUCUAGUCAUCAUUAGUUGACUUACUUUAUACCAAAGGUCCAUUUAGUAAUUGAAUUAUUUAUAUAAUGUAUAGCAUUGUCUGUUCGAAACAGUAAUUAAGGGAAAAUUUGCAAAUUUAUAAAUAAAAUUACUUUUUG